GGAUAACACUGACGCUCAUGUACGAAAGCGUGGGUAGCAAACAGGAUUAGAUACCCUGGUAGUCCACGCCCUAAACGAUGUCAACUGGUUGUUGGGGGAGUGAAAUCCCUUAGUAACGAAGCUAACGCGUGAAGUUGACCGCCUGGGGAGUACGGUCGCAAGAUUAAAACUCAAAGGAAUUGACGGGGACCCGCACAAGCGGUGGAUGAUGUGGAUUAAUUCGAUGCAACGCGAAAAACCUUACCUACCCUUGACAUGUCCGGAAUCCUGAAGAGAUUUGGGAGUGCUCGAAAGAGAACCGGAACACAGGUGCUGCAUGGCUGUCGUCAGCUCGUGUCGUGAGAUGUUGGGUUAAGUCCCGCAACGAGCGCAACCCUUAUCAUUAGUUGCUACGCAAGGGCAUUCUAAUGAGACUGCCGGUGACAAACCGGAGGAAGGUGGGGAUGACGUCAAGUCCUCAUGGCCCUUAUGGGUAGGGCUUCACACGUCAUACAAUGGUCGGUACAGAGGGUUGCCAAGCCGCGAGGUGGAGCCAAUCCCAGAAAGCCGAUCGUAGUCCGGAUUGUUCUCUGCAACUCGAGAGCAUGAAGUCGGAAUCGCUAGUAAUCGCGGAUCAGCAUGUCGCGGUGAAUACGUUCCCGGGUCUUGUACACACCGCCCGUCACACCAUGGGAGUGGAAUCUGGCAGAAGUAGGUAGCCUAACCGCAAGGGGGGCGCUUACCACGCUGGGUUUCAUGACUGGGGUGAAGUCGUAACAAGGUAACCGUA
rnacentral:rRNA from 1 species